rnacentral:ncRNA from 1 species
AUGUAAAUGGCAAAACUACUGAAAAGUAGCGACGCAAAACUAUAGGGCCUUAAAUGGUAGCCAGUUGUC